GUCAGUGUGCCCGAGUGGUCUAAGGGGUCGGUCUCAAGUGAAGCGCCCAGGCGUAAUAGCUUCUCAGCCCAGUUUCUGAGUGUUCCGAUGGCAUUGCCGCGUGGGUUCGAACCCCACCGCUGACA